CCAAGCUUCAAACAUCCCAAGACAAAAGCAUUGUUCACAUGGAUAUGGCCUUGCCUUGAUAAGGCUCAAGGAUGCAAUAAGCCAAAAUGUCACCUAGGUGCCUACGAAUCAAAGUUCCACUUGGAUUUGAAUUUCUUGGAAGGUACCAUAUCAUCCCAAGAUUACUUAUUGGAAUACUGUCUGUCAAGGUUCAUGUUUUAUAGAGGGAGGCUGAGAGCUCUUACGGGAAUAGUCUUAUUUAGUAAUAUGAUUGAGUUAUUUUCACUGUUUACUAAUCCAGUUGUUUCUUCUUUUGGGUUUCAUUUUUGUUCAUGAUGACAUUUAAUUGGCACAAUUUGGGGUUCAACUGUGUACAGUCUAAUCCUAUAUACCUGAAAUAUGUGUUGCUGUACUCAGUAAGAUUUAGUUGAUAUAGUAAAGAGUUUAGGGUUGCAGCCUGAGCUGAAUAAUUGACGUGGGGGGGGGGGGAAGAAUACCCCUCUCUCUAAAUUUUUUAAGGGGUUCCUGAUGAAGUAGCAGGCUCCUAUAUUUUUAUUUUUCUGCUUGUUAUUUUUUUGACACCUCUUAAGAUAUCAUAACCAAAUCUUGCACAAUGUUUCCAGAGACCAAGGAGCAGGUUUUUGUCUAUAUUUGGAUAUGAUUGCACACCAUUUUGGUUCAGAAUGGACUGAACCUUUCAAAACUGCCCUGACUUUCGGGUUUCUUAGAAUUCUAGACCAAUGCUGGGAACAAGGUUGCUAGUUCUUAAUGAGUGGAUGCAGGUGGCCAACAUUAUCUUAAAAAGAAAUACCCCGCCCCUCUUUAAGAUAUCUUGUGUAACAUUUGUGUGCAUCGCCUUAAUUAGAAUCAUUUGUUUUUUUCAUUACAUAAGCUAAUGCAGGUUGAACAGAUCAAACUGAUUUCUUCCUGUGUGAUGGCCUUCUAGUGCAAACAUUUUUCGGGAGAUGCUGGAUGUGAGAUGGGGAGUUGUCUGUGGGUUUAGCUUCAAGAGACCUGCUUGUGGGCAGCCGCUGUGAACAGGAUGCUUGACUAGAUAGACGUUUAGUUUGAUCCAGCCACUAGACUCUUGUACCCUGGCAUCAGUUCCAAGCGGUCAAGGAUGGCAUGCAUGGAGGCCUUUGUGCAACAAGCAAUGGGUGGCGCUGUGGGUUAAACCACAGAGCCUAGGACUUGCCGAUCAGAAGGUCGGCGGUUCGAAUCUCCGCGACAGGGUGAGCUCCCGUUGCUCGGUCUCUGCUCCUGCCAACCUAGCAGUUCGAAAGCACGUCAAAGUGCAAGUAGAUAAAUAGGUACCGCUCCAGCGGGAAGGUAAACGGCGUUUCCAUGCGCUGCUCUGGUUUGCCAGAAGCGGCUUAGUCAUGCUGGCCACAUGACCUGGAAGCUGUAUGCCGGCUCCCUCGGCCAAUAAAGCGAGAUGAGCGCCGCAACCCCAGAGUCGGUCAUGACUGGACCAAUUGGUCAGGGGUCCCUUUACCUAUGAUAAUAAUAAUAAGGUUAUUGCACUACCCCGAGAUAUAUUUGGCUGAAGCAUGCCCAAGCGCACUGCAAGUUUCACUGACCAGGAGAAGUCAAUUACUGGCUCUUUGCCUUAUCUGUUCCUCAGCUGCUCAUGCCUUCCUAAUUCAAAAUCCUAAACCAACCUCACAUCAUCCCUGACCACUGGCCAUGCUGACUGGGGAUGAUGGGAGUUGGAGUUCAACAUCUGGAGUCCCCAUCCCUGGUAGAUCGUAACCUAUUUAAGAAGAAACCUCAAUUCUAUAUGCUGGCUAACAGCUCUUUAUACUUGUCCCGAGGAAGGCUGACAAUAAACCUCCAGGUAAAUAUAGUUAG